CGAGAGUGCGGAACAUCCCGCCGUGAUGGCAGAUGUAGAUAAACGGUGGAACGGCUGUAAAAGAGUCUUGCCACUGGGUAAAAUCAGGAUGUGCCGCGGAACCCGCUCCUCAGCUACUCAAACUUCGGAGACGCGGGCAACGCAGGUGCUAUCGUCUUAAAGGGUCGGCUGCAACCGGCCC
rnacentral:sRNA from 1 species